AACGAACGCUGGCGGCAUGCCUAACACAUGCAAGUCGAACGAGACCUUCGGGUCUAGUGGCGCACGGGUGCGUAACGCGUGGGAACCUGCCCUUAGGUUCGGAAUAACUCCCCGAAAGGGGUGCUAAUACCGGAUAAUGUCUUCGGACCAAAGAUUUUUCGCCUUUGGAUGGGCCCGGGUUGGUUUAGCUGGUUGGUAGGGUAAAAGCCUACCAAGGCGACGAUCCAUAGCUGGUCUGAGAGGAUGAUCAGCCACACUGGGACUGAGACACGGCCCACACUCCUACGGGAGGCAGCAGUGGGGAAUAUUGGACAAUGAGCGAAAGCCUAAUCCAGCAAUGCCGCGUGAGUGAGGAAGGCCUUAGGGUUGUAAAGCUCUUUUACCCGGGAUGAUAAUGACAGUACCGGGAGAAUAAGCUCCGGCUAACUCCGUG
rnacentral:rRNA from 1 species